rnacentral:rRNA from 1 species
CGGGACGGGUGAGUAAUGUCUAGGGAAACUGCCUGAUGGGGAGGGGAUACUACUGGAAACGGUAGCUAAUACCGCAUAACGUCGCAAGACCAAAGAGGGGGACCUUCGGGCUUCUUGCCAUCGGAUGUGCCCAGAUGGGAUUAGCUAGUAGGUGGGGUAACGGCUCACCUAGGCGACGAUCCCUAGCUGGUCUGAGAGGAUGACCAGCCACACUGGAACUGAGACACGGUCCAG